GAUGAACGUGGGCGACGUGCCUAACACAUGCAAGUCGAGCGGUGAAAAGCGGACUUAAUCUUCGGAAAGAGGAAACUUGGAACAGCGGCGGACGGGUGAGUAAUACAUGAGCAACCUGCCUUGGACAGAGGGAUAGCCGUGGGAAACCGCGAUUAAUACCUCAUAAGACCCCACUAUCGCAUGAUAGAGAGGUCAAAGAUUUAUCGGUCCAAGAUGGACUCAUGACCCAUUAGCUAGUUGGUGAGAUAACAGCCCACCAAGGCGACGAUGGGUAGCCGGCUUGAGAGAGUGACCGGCCACAUUGGAACUGAGACACGGUCCAGACUCCUACGGGAGGCAGCAGUGGGGAAUAUUGCACAAUGGAGGAAACUCUGAUGCAGCGACGUCGCGUGAGCGAAGAAGGUUUUCGAAUCGUAAAGCUCUGUCCUAUGGGAAGAAGAAAGACGGUACCAUAGAAGAAAGCCCCGGCUAACUACGUGCCAGCAGCCGCGGUAAUACGUAGGGGGCGAACGUUAUCCGGAAUGAUUGGGCGUAAAGGGUACGUAGGCGGACCUGUAAGUCAGGUGUGAAAGGCAUGGGCUCAACCCAUGUAAGCACUUGAAACUGCGGGUCUUGAGGGAAGGAGAGGUAAGUGGAAUUCCUAGUGUAGCGGUGAAAUGCGUAGAUAUUAGGAGGAAUACCGGUGGCGAAGGCGACUUACUGGACUUUUACUGACGCUGAGGUACGAAAGCGUGGGGAGCAAACAGG
rnacentral:rRNA from 1 species